AGAGGUGUGGUUGGUUUCUUUCUUUUAACUUGCUGAGGAGUAUUUUGAACCUUAAAACUGAUGGGUAGUGUAGGGGUAUGAAAGGUGUCUGAGUUCAGCACUGAAGGAGACUGCUGAGGCCUUGGUCCCACAUGCUGGCAGAAGAUUCCCUCUAUUGUUCAGGAUUUAGUCAUGACUCCCACAGAAACUUCAGUAUGUGGAUUUCACACUGUGAUGAAAAGCGAGGAGAGGGAGGCCCAGGGGAAGUCCUUUCUCUAAACCUUGGCUUUCACAUGUGUUGGUGUUUCUCUUGAAGAUGAUGGCUUGCCUUUGUGCUAGCUCAGCCCUCAAGCAUGGGAGCAGACAGAGAAGAAGACAGCAGGGCAGACUUCUCAAGAGGCAUCUGCCAUUUCAGAUGCCACCCAAGCUUCCUAAAGUAGAUCAGUAACUCGACAAGUUACAGAGCACUGGAAACUGCAGUGACAUGGAUGAAGUCCACUCAGCCUUCAGGCUGGCUUAGUCCUGUGGAUCAAAAGGGAAAUUCUGGGCAAGAGGAGCAUCUGUAGGGCCUGAGGUUGGCUGUCACUGUAUGCUCAAGAUACUGCUGCACCUGGCUAGCUGAUGCCCAGCAGCCUUUUGGAGGCAGAAGGUUUGUGGGCAGUGAAACAGGGACAACGUUUUUGGUGUUGUUCAAAUCAGGUGCAGAGGACUAAAAUCACAGCAGUCUGGUCUGUCCACAGACCAUGCCAGUGUGUGCACCCAGCGUUCAGCCUCUCAGGAUUACAAUUUAUUAAGCCAGCUUUCUUAUUUCAGUGCUGGGCAGCAACUGUCAGCCUCGGGGGCCUCAUCACAUUCUGGGGUUGUGAGAAACUUUUCAGCCCUAGGAGCAGAAUUGACUCUCCAUGCCUCUGCUACUGAGCAGAGCAGGAAGCCUCAUGUGGAAUGCUUCUGGAAGUGCUUAUGUCUGUGGGAAUCAGGCACCAGCUCAGUUAGGCACAGAUUAUUUGCAAAAUAUUCUUUUUCUUCCCUUAUUUCCAGCCAGUGUAAAGUCCACAUCUUGCACGUGUUGGUAGGGUCUUUUUAGCAGCUAGUGGGCCAUGGGAAGAGCUAAGUCCCCUCUGGGUUCUUGUCUGUUAACCAUGCUUGCAAUGCAGUUAGUUAUUGCUGCUACUAGUUUCUCCUUCACUUUUAUUAAAUAGUGUUUUCUGUUUGCAGUCUGCUAAAUGGUUUGUUGGCUUUAGUUUUGUUGAUGUAAUAACUCCUGCUUUCCUGCCAGCACCAACUUCAUUGCCUGAGGUAAUGGUUUUUGGCUGUUCAAACCUGACUAUCAGAAGGUGUCCAUUUAAUUACAGAGUAUCUCAGUAUAAAUUUCCUGCCAGUCCCUGUCCAGUUCAAUCGUCUGUUCCCUGCUGCAAAUCAGUUUUCCUGCUCUCUGUCCAUUUUUCCCAGGGAAUAGGUGGGACCUAGCGUUGGCAUUAACGUAUCUGUCUUUUCACCCUCUAUAAAUAAGUUUAGAAUUAUGUCUAUAUGUGCUGGAAUAGGGUUUUUGUGGGAAACCUAAAUGCUGCCUUGGAAAGAAGCCAUCUGCAAGGAGUUGAAUUAAUAAAGCUUUAUGU